rnacentral:rRNA from 1 species
UACGUAGGUGACCAGCGUUGUCCGGAUUUACUGGGCGUAAAGCGUGCGCAGGCGGUUUGCUAAGACAGGUGUGAAAUCCCCGGGCUUAACCUGGGAACUGCGCUUGUAACUGGCAAGCUUGAGUGUGGCAGAGGGGGGUGGAAUUCCACGUGUAGCAGUGAAAUGCGUAGAGAUGUGGAGGAACACCGAUGGCGAAGGCAGCCCCCUGGGCUAACACUGACGCUCAUGCACGAAAGCGUGGGGAGCAAACAGG